rnacentral:lncRNA from 1 species
AAUACUUAUAAUCACUUUUUUAGCAAAUAAAAUCCAAUUACUUUAAUGAUUAAGACUUAGUUUCGUAUUCAGAUGGAUCUAAUGCCAUUAGAUAGAAUAGAGUUGAGAAAAAAAAUAUAAAGAUAUGUUUCUGCGUUCUCCGAUGGGAUCGCAAAAAUAUAUCUUAACUGACGAACCGCAAUAUGUGGAACGCAAUAAUACGUACGGAAACAAACAGGGUAUUUUUUCAUCGUCGUUUUUCAUCGCACGUAACGUAAUCUCCUUGUAAUCCCAAACGAAGCCUUGAAGGGCCAAUUACAUAAUUUAUUGAU